UCCAUCUCCAACUCCUCCAAAAUCUGUCAAUGAUGCCUGAUGAGAUCUGCAACUUAUAGCUGGAUACUCAAACCAAUCCAAUUUGGGAUAUUUUCUGCCAUCAACUCCACUAGUACAAAGAAAUAGCAAAAGGCCAAUUGCUAAGACAGCAUUCAUCACCAUCACCUGAAAUCUUCUGGGAAUUGUCCACAACUCCAUUGCACAAAACACAGUUAUUG
rnacentral:misc_RNA from 1 species